AGCUCAGCUGGGAGAGCGCGUGCUUUGCAAGCAUGAGGUCGUCGGUUCGAUCCCGUCUGGCUCCACCAGAUGGAAU
rnacentral:tRNA from 1 species